UACGUAGGGAGCAAGCGUUAUCCGGAUUUACUGGGUGUAAAGGGCGUGUAGGCGGGAGUGCAAGUCAGAUGUGAAAACUAUGGGCUCAACCCAUAGCCUGCAUUUGAAACUGUACUUCUUGAGUACUGGAGAGGCAGGCGGAAUUCCGUGUGUAGCGGUGAAAUGCGUAGAUAUACGGAGGAACACCAGUGGCGAAGGCGGCCUGCUGGACAGCAACUGACGCUGAGGCGCGAAAGCGUGGGGAGCAAAC
rnacentral:rRNA from 2 species